UACGGGGGGGGGCAAGCGUUGUUCGGAAUUACUGGGCGUAAAGGGCUCGUAGGCGGCCAACUAAGUCAGACGUGAAAUCCCUCGGCUUAACCGGGGAACUGCGUCUGAUACUGGAUGGCUUGAGUCGGGAGAGGGAUGCGGAAUUCCAGGUGUAGCGGUGAAAUGCGUAGAUAUCUGGAGGAACACCGGUGGCGAAGGCGGCAUCCUGGACCGACGACUGACGCUGAGGAGCGAAAGCCAGGGGAGCAAACGGG
rnacentral:rRNA from 1 species